rnacentral:rRNA from 1 species
UAUUUGCAAUGCACCAGACAAGCCUCAAGUAAAAUGGAGCGACUUAAAUGGAGAAUACAGAUGAAAAGUUUUGCUGGGGUAUCGAGCCAGGGUUUUAGUGGAGGCCUUGCUCUUUACUGGGAUGAGAGAUUGCAAGUAACAGUCCUAGAUGCUUGUGCACGGUACAUAGACGUGCGGAUAGUGGAUGCAGCAAAUGAUAAGUCAUGAAGGACAACCUUUGUGUAUGGUGAGCCGAGAGUGGAGAAUCGGCAUCGCAUUUGGAGCUCGCUAUCUAACCUCAGGGCAGUUUCUGCGAAACCGUGGUUAGUGUGCGGCGAUUUUGACGAAGCUAUGUGGCAACAUGAGCACUUUUCUCAAUCUCAACGAUCUGAAAGUCAAAUGCAAGUGUUUCGUGAUUGUCUUUUGGCGUGUGAAUUGAUGGAUCUUGGUUUCAGUGGCGUUCCUUUUACAUACGAUAAUGGGCAGCUAGGAGUAAGGAACGUACGGGUCCGUCUGGACAGGGCUUGUGCGGACGAGGCAUGGAAGGAUUUGUUCCCCCUCACGCAGGUGGUUCACCUUGCGACUUCCUGCUCGGAUCAUUGCCCGGUCCUCAUCCGGUUAUCUUCAACACCACCGAGAACUAGAUCGGCGUCACGCUAUGAGAUCAUGUGGGAGAGACACCCUGGUCUAUCUUCGGUGGUGGCAGAACGUUGGGAGCGCAGUCGCCCAGCUAGGAAUUUAGGUGCGGUUCGGGACGCACUAAAAGAGAUGAUGAACAAGCUACGUCUUGGAGUAAGGAGAACUUUGGUCAUGUCAUAUCAGAUUUGGAAAAGCUACGAGCGGAGUUGGCAGACUUGCAACUUCAUGAUGCCGACAGAAACUUGA